rnacentral:rRNA from 1 species
UCCGUAGGCGGGUUUAUAAGUCAGUGGUGAAAGUUUGCGGCUCAACCGUAAAAUUGCCAUUGAUACUGUAGACUUUGAAUUAGUGUGAAGUGGUUAGAAUGUGUAGUGUAGCGGUGAAAUGCAUAGAUAUUACACAGAAUGCCAAUUGCGAAGGCAGAUCACUAACACGAUAUUGACGCUGAGGGACGAAAGCAUGGGGAGCUAACAGGAUUAGAUACCCUGGUAGUCC